GAGGCGCACCACGGCGGCCACAAGAAGAAGAAGAAAAAUCUGAAGAGGGAAGGAGGAGGGUGGUGCCGUGUUCCAGGCCUUAAUUAGUGUGUUUCUUCAGUUCUUCAGGUCCUCCUCAUGGCGUAGUGGUGGUGGUCUGCUGCAGGAUGAGCCAGGGAUGGACGACGAGGAGGAUGUCGUGUUCGAGGGGAGUGCCAUCCACCAACACCUCCUGGAUGUUGGCCUCACUGACUUUGAGCAGAGCACAUACCUGCCUCCACCCGUCCAGGAGAAGACGCAGGAAGACACAACCUCCACGCUUCACAAAAAGACUGGCUGGCAGGAGAGACAACAGCAGUGGUGCACAGUCUUUCCACAUCACUUGUUUGGGACUGUAGCAAACCUUCUGCAACAGUACAUCUGUACGUCAGUGGCGAGAACAGUGUUUGGCAGCAAGCUGGUGAGUGAGGAUGACUGCCUCAUUCUGGAGCACUUCCUUCCUGAGGCAGAGAAGCUGCAGGACUUUGCCAAGCCUCCCUUCCCUUGGCAGAGCAUCUUGGUGCCCAGAGAUCUUGCAGUGGUGAGUUUGUGUCUGGUGCUUCUCUGGAUGGUGACUGAGGACUGGCUGGUCCAGUUUGGUGUGUUUCUUGUAGCUGUGGCAGUGUAUACCAUUUACUGUAUUUAUUUGUUAUGGAGAAGUACAGCCCUGAAGCAGUUUGUGAUCACUUUGAAGGAAACCGUCUAUCUUACAUCCAAAACUGUCCGAUUAGUGCAAGAAGUGGACCUCAUAGCUAAAGGGUUUGUCCUGGCACAGGGGCCGGGAGCAGCGCUUGCCACCCCCUAUGAGGUGCCCCCUCAGAUCACCCAUCUCAGCGAGGCCUUGCUCAGCACCAUGACGUCAGCGGCCAAGGUCCUCCUCUCCACUCACACACUACUGGAGCACAGAGUCCCGCAUCACCCCACCAUCAGACACCUCUUUGACGAAUUGCCACCCUUGGAUGGAUGCUGCACCUUCUCUGAAAGAAAACAAUACCUCAAGGACAAUGUUACUGUGAUAAAGUUGCAAGCUUCUGCUGUGGUGACAAAGCUCCUGUUGUGGUUGUAUAAAUCAGAGGGACUUUGUGAAUACAAAACUUUCAGUGAUGAUAUAUCUACACAUAUGAAGCAAGCUGCCUUUCUUGAUAAACUGCAGUUCCUCAAGAAGCAAUAUGAGUACAACAAGUCUUUUUGGCUAACAGAGCGGCCAAGUAGGAGUGAGUCUCAGUUUCUUGAAGAAAAGAAGAAAAAUGUUUAUUUAGCCAUACAUAGUUUGGCUUUGCAUCUGCAGGCUGCACUGGUUAGAGUGCAGAGUCUAGAGGCAGAGUUUGAGAGGGAAAGUGACACAGCAAAUUUCUGUGACUCAGAGACCCUUCCAUCAUUCCCUUCCCAUGAACAUGUCAAGAAACAAUUAACAGCAUUGAGAUUAGAAUUGGACUCCUGUCAGGGAUGUAUAGAGGAGGCCGAGGCCCGGGCUGAAAGAAAGUACGGCAUAGCUGACAGUAGUGAUGUGAAGGAAACUGAUCGUGUUGAGAGCACCACUAAGGAGGAGCAUGUUGAGGAUGCUAAGCUAACAAAGCCAAUUCCUGUGUUGCUCUAUGACCAAGAAGUAUCACCAGCAGAAGAUGAAGUAUUUGAGGCUUACAUUGACCAGGAGUUUGUGAAUGAAGACAAAAGCAAGUGGGAAGAUGAGCCCUGGUGUGCAGAUGCCAGAAAAGAACGACAGGUGUUCCGGCAGCAGAAGGAGCAAGGGAAGAGGGUUCUUAAGGAGCUUCAGCCAAUCCUAACCAGUCGUCGUAAAAUGUGGGAGGAACGAGAGAAAAUUGCCUUAGAGAGACAUGGCAAGAUAGUUGGAAUGAUUUUGCCAUUUGAUGAAGAGCACACCAAGGAGAGCAAGAGAGGGGAAUGUUCUCGGAGAAAAGACAGCACGAAUGACUUCAACUCUCCAAAUUUUGAAGAUGCUGCAAGUUGUGGGUCUUCUGCAGUAGCAGCAGUCCAGUCCCAACUGGAAGGGGAAGAGGAAGAAGACAGUGAUGAGGAGAGGCUCAGAGUCUAUAGGAAGGUUAAAAAGGAACUAGAUGAAGAUGAAGAGGAGAGAUUAGCAACUGAAGUAAGGUUGGGAGGGAAACUCUUAAACUUUGGCCAAGAUUUGGAAGGUUUACAAAGCCUUAUUAACAGGAAUGAAUCAACUGAUUAUAUUGAUUCUGAUUCAGAGGAAGAGAAAAGUAAGAUUGUAAAGCUUCCACUAGUGCCAAAUAUGGGACAGUGUUCCAUGACACAACAGAGCUCUGAGGACUUAACUGACAACGUGGAAGAGGCAGAAAAUGUCAAGGACACGAGUACAUUGGAAACAAACCCAAGCCCAGACAACAGAUGCACUCGGGCAGAGAUAUUCUCUACUGGUGAAAAAGAAAUGGGUAAAGAGGCCUCAAGUGAAUCAGUUGCCAAGCAAGAGGAUGAAACAUUUUUGCACAAUGAAGCUAUUGAUGACAACGAGUCUCGUAAGAUAGACUGGACCACCUUUAGGCUCCCCAUUCAGCAAACUGAUACCCUCGAUGACCGCCUCCAGCUGUUCUCAGGCGGUGCCUGUCUUGGCUUCCAGGCUGAGGUGGCAGCCAAGGCAAGUGCAGCUUCAAGAAACUUUUGGAUGGCAGCAAAGUGCCCAGAGAAGACCUUUGGAGGCAUUGGGGAGGGGGAAGGGGAGGUGUUUGGCUCAGACAGUGACCGGGAAGAAGGCAGUGAUAGUGAUGCACAGCUAAACUGAAGCAACUUAAUACAGAUCAACGCUAAAUUUUGUUAUUUCUCAGGACAAAGGAAGUGCAAGAAGAUCAGUGAAAUCAGAGAAAAAUUAUGCCUCUUCCUUUCUUGUUACCUGCCUGAAAGGAAAAGUCUUAAUCAUCAACUCACCAGCCACCUGAUGCAAGAAGAUAACUUGGAUUGCUCCAUGGUAAACAGCAUCCUGGGAAAUGUGAUUAGGCAGCCCAUUCUGGAGAAGGAGGGGAGUGAGUGGGAUAGUCAACCAAGGCUGCACCCAUCAACGCCAAGCCCACCAAAUGACUCCAGACCAAGGUGCUGGGCAUCGUGCUGUGUCUAACUGAUGGUCUCUAUUUCCUAACCAAGUACAACCAGAAAACAACAACUCAUAAGUGUUGUACGAAGAUGGAAAUGUGGGGUCCUGAGUGUAUCACUGUUGGCUGCCCAUUUCAAGCAUCAUCGGGUUGGCGAAGGUCACACAUCAGCUGUCCAUCAACUUGAUUUGUUGCAACUUUGAUCAGUUAGAGCACUGAGGGGCACCAUCAGCCAGGCAUCAGAAAGUCACUACAAAUGCUAUUUGUGCUCCAUGUAGAUGCUGGGACUGAUCAACAGUUACCCUGACUGAAAACAGGCUGCACAGAGAAAAAACUUCAUUGCCAUUCAGUUUCCUAAUUACUUUGAAUAGUCAGCUGAAUAUUCAACUUUGCUUUAAAAAUAACUAGUUCCAUGCAGGUUAAUGUUUUCAUUUUCUAUAAUCGUUAGUUUUCAGAAAACUCAUUUAAGUCUUCCUCUCAACAUUAUUCCUUCCUUGCCUAUUCUGGUAAAAUUCCAGAAGUACACCCACCAGUGACAACUAACACUGCAGCACAAAACAUCAAAUUUUUAUCCUAGAUAAUUGAAUCAGACCCUAAAUUAAAUUAAAUCUAACCUAACCUGACCCAACUUAACCAAAUCUAUACGCCCCAUUUAAAAUGUAAUAGUGAAAUAAAUCCCUCAGUUAUAUCCCUCUAGGGCCUCAGUGAUAUCUCAAGAAAUUUGUAUCUCUCAAUGAGUGAUAAUGCAACAGCAAAGCAAUAUGGCAGUGUGUUAUGUGCACUAAGUACUUCAUAUUGCUCAAAGGUGUCCUAUGCAGGGAGAUGGGCAUACUUCUGCAAUAAUACCCAAUUUCUGUCCUUUUACAGUUGCAUUCUCUUCCUCUCUGAACAUCUUCCUGAAACUAUCUUACUUACUCAAUGAAUUAUGCAGUGUGUUCAAAUCUAGGAGGGUUAAAGGGAUGAGGCUUCAUGGGCAAGGAAUUGUUCUGUCUCAUAUGAAGCGUGAUAAGCCUGGCUCAAAAGCAAAGGGCAGCCAGAGGCAACCAGAGGCUUCUAUGGUACCCCCUCCAAACCUUCUUGGGUCAAAUACACUACUUGCUGAUGAUGUGUACCUCAUGUAUUGGGAAUAUCAAAGAUUUGAAGUGACUAACUACUUUUCUAAGUAAAAUAUUUUUUGAGGA